CUGCAUGUCCUUGGAAAAGAAUGAAUGAAGCCCGGUGGAAAGGGAGGAGAGUGAAGAGAAUAAAGUGAAGGGAACGACCAACAUUUACUGACCUCAUACUGUGUGCCAGAUGUGACAAUGCGCUGUGACUUCACUGUCAGCCUUGAGAACUUGGCUGUACAGAAGAAGCCAGCUGUGAGCCAGCCUUGCUUGCCUGGCCCUUCUCUACUGCUGGAAUUUCCAUAUGUCCACUUCCACAGCCUGACUCUCAGAAGCACCUCUGCUUGCCACUGCUGAAGGUGCCCACUAGGACAGAAUCGGUGCUUUAGUUGGUGGCACCACGUCCUGAAGUUCACACUACUUGGGAUUUCAGAAGGUCAGCAGUCUUUGUUUCCUUCCAGACAGAGAGUGGCUUCGCCUCAUGUUUACACGUUGUACUCUGGACUCGAAAUCAUCCCUGUUUGUGAGCAGUCUCACGAAGUCUUUCCUGUGUGACUGUUGGCUGGCCUUUGAUCCUUUCCCAUCAGUGUGGAAACCCAGUCUCAAUGCCAGGAUUUCAUGCUCUGCAAACCUGCCAUUUUCCUUAGGACAACUUUGCCCCUAUCUCUAUGAAGCCUCUUUCUCUGUCUUCCUUUCUCUGCCCUACUGUCACUAAACUUCCAUAACUCUUCAGUGAUAUGGGUCCUGGGAAAGGAGGCUGGACCAACUAUGUACGAUGCUCAGCAGCUCACCGCAACCACCCAUGCCAGGGUGAUCAUGCCAGCAUCAUCUCCAGCCACAUGCAAGAACAGACAGCAUCCAAGAGCUGUAUCAACAGUUCCUGCAUUUUCAGGGCCUUACAAGGGAUUGGGUAAACACACCUGACCAAGGCCUCCUGGGAGAGACCCUGAAGUGUAAUGAAAGAAAAUCACCCCACACCACAGCAUAUCAACUGUAAAAAGGAAAACACGGAGGGAAAGGAAAUUCAGAAGCAGGGCAGCCGUUCACACCGACACAGCUCCCUGGCAAGGCCAUCGGCAUCGGAGUGGUGUCAUCCUACGUUGCCUUGCUCGUGUUCAGAGAUCCUUAGCCACCAGACGAGUAGCAUCAGCAUCACCUGGGAACUUGUCAGCAAUCGGAGUCCUCUCUCCAGAUCCAGAGAGAGACAGAGACCGUAAAAAACAAAACCUCAACGGGGCCAGCCCCAUGGCUCAACAGGUAGGGGUCUUGCUGCCAAAUGUGAUGAGCCAAGUUUGAUCCUCAGGAACCACGUGAUGGAACAGGAGGGCUGACUCCUGAAAGUUGCCCUCUGACCUCCACUUGCACAUUGUGGCACCCAUGUUCCCCUUAUGCACACUGCAUAUAUACACACACAAAUAGAUAGCUAGCUAGGUAGGUAGGUAGAUAGAUAGAAAGAAAGAUAGAUAGAUAGAAAGUGAUAGAUAGAUAAUGUUUAGGAAAAGGGAUGGUCCUUCACCUGACUAACUCUGUUCACCAGUGAUGAUGUUUGGCUGUUACUCACUCAUCCCUGAGCUCAGCCCUUUCUUUAGCUGCCAUAUUCCUGAAAUAUUCAGCUGAGUGGGAUCCAACAGACCCGCAAAGAACUUCCUUAGGAGCCAGGCAGUGGUGGCACACACCUUUAAUCCCAGCACU